UACGAAGGGGGCUAGCGUUGUUCGGAUUUACUGGGCGUAAAGCGCACGUAGGCGGAUUGUUAAGUCAGGGGUGAAAUCCUGGAGCUCAACUCCAGAACUGCCUUUGAUACUGGCAAUCUCGAGUCCGGAAGAGGUGAGUGGAACUCCUAGUGUAGAGGUGGAAUUCGUAGAUAUUAGGGAGAACACCAGUGGCGAAGGCGGCUCACUGGUCCGGUACUGACGCUGAGGUGCGAAAGCGUGGGGAGCAAACAGG
rnacentral:rRNA from 1 species